rnacentral:rRNA from 1 species
UGGGGAAUUUUGCGCAAUGGGCGAAAGCCUGACGCAGCAACGCCGCGUGGGUGAUGAAGGUCUUCGGAUCGUAAAACCCUGUCGUCGAGGACGAAGGUCGUUUUGUGAAUAGCAGAGCGUCUUGACGGUACUCGGAGAGGAAGCCCCGGCUAACUCUGUGCCAGCAGCCGCGGUAAUACAGAGGGGGCAAGCGUUAUUCGGAAUUAUUGGGCGUAAAGGGCGCGUAGGCGGUUUGUUAAGUCAGAUGUGUAAUCCCCGAGCUCAACUUGGGAACUGCAUCUGAGACUGGGAGACUGGAGUACUGGAGAGGGUGGUAGAAUUCCACGUGUAGCGGUGAAAUGCGUAGAGAUGUGGAGGAAUACCAGUGGCGAAGGCGGCCACCUGGACAGUAACUGACGCUGAGGCGCGAAAGUGUGGGUAGCAAACA